rnacentral:rRNA from 1 species
UACGGAGGAUGCGAGCGUUAUCCGGAUUUAUUGGGUUUAAAGGGUGAGUAGGCGGACUGUCAAGUCAGCGGUAAAAUUGAGAGGCUCAACCUCUUCCCGCCGUUGAAACUGGUGGUCUUGAGUGGAUGAGAAGUACGCGGAAUGCGUGGUGUAGCGGUGAAAUGCAUAGAUAUCACGCAGAACUCCGAUUGCGAAGGCAGCGUACCGGCAUCCAACUGACGCUGAGGCACGAAAGCGUGGGGAUCAAACAGG